AAAUGUGAAGGGCGAUGCCCGUGUCCCUCCGAUAAGUCCAUGAGCACAGGCAGAAAUGUAAAGAGAGGUUUCAGAAGCUUCUGUUUCCUCUUGCGUCCUUACAUCAUCCUUUGCUCUUGGGAUGAUGGCCUCAGACUGUGUGCGUCUGGUACUGUAUCAGCUACUGUUGGCCUCCAUCACUGCAACAACCAUAUUCAGGUGCCAAGGGAACAACCUGCAGUGACCUGGAAUUCAGAGAAGUGGCAAACAGACUGCGAGACUGGUUCAAGGCGCUUCAUGAGAGUGGAAGCCAGAACAAGAGGACAAAAGCAUUGCUGAGGCCUGAGAGAAGCAGGUUUGAUACCAGUAUUUUGCCAAUUUGCAAGGAUUCACUUGGCUGGAUGUUUAAUAGACUUGAUACAAACUACGACCUGUUAUUGGACCAGUCAGAGCUUGGCAGCAUUUACCUUGAUAAGAAUGAGCAUUGCACCAAGGCGUUCUUCAACUCUUGUGAUACAUACAAGGACAGUUUGAUAUCUAACAAUGAAUGGUGCUACUGCUUCCAGAGACAGCAAG
rnacentral:lncRNA from 1 species